rnacentral:rRNA from 1 species
GAUGAACGCUGGCGGCGUGCCUAAUACAUGCAAGUCGAGCGAACAGACGAGGAGCUUGCUCCUCUGACGUUAGCGGCGGACGGGUGAGUAACACGUGGAUAACCUACCUAUAAGACUGGGAUAACUUCGGGAAACCGGCGCUAAUACCGGAUAAUAUAUUGAACCGCAUGGUUCCAUAGUGAAAGACGGUUUUGCUGUCACUUAUAGAUGGAUCCGCGCCGCAUUAGCUAGUUGGUAAGGUAACGGCUUACCAAGGCGACGAUGCGUAGCCGACCUGAGAGGGUGAUCGGCCACACUGGAACUGAGACACGGUCCAGACUCCUACGGGGAGCAGCAGUAGGGAAUCUUCCGCAAUGGGCGAAAGCCUGACGGAGCAACGCCGCGUGAGUGAUGAAGGUCUUCGGAUCGUAAAACUCUGUUAUUAGUGAAGAACAAAUGUGUAAGUAACUAUGCACGUCUUGACGGUACCUAAUCAGAAAGCCACGGCUAACUACGUG